AUAAAGGUAGUUAAAAAAUAACAACGAACUUGCACUUCGAGAUUGAGGAUUAACCUCCUCCCUUUAUU
rnacentral:tRNA from 1 species